rnacentral:lncRNA from 1 species
CAACUAGCCCUAAACCCUAUACCAAUCUAUCGCUCUAUCCUCACCGCUCUCCUCUUUUUUCACCUUGUCAACUACUAUUACAAAAAUAUUAAAAAUUACAACAAUAACAACUCAAGAGAAUAACUUUUCUUUCUUGCCUUAAGAUUUGUGUAUUUUUGUGUUACGUGGUAUGCCACUUAGCCUCUAGAUUUUACAAAAUCCCAUCAAAGGCUACAUCACCAUUUUUUUUUUUGAUAGGCAAUAGCAAAAAAUAUAUUAGAGAAAGCCAAAAGGCCGCACCGCAUACAAAAGGUAUACUAAGCAACCCCAAGGCCAAAAAAACAAAAGCAAGAACACCUCACCAGCCCUUAGGGGACCGCUACCCACUCAAAGGCUACAUCACCAUGUUAUCAUAAUAAAGUUAAUAAGCAAAGAACCUUCAAAUUUAGAAAUGACUUAAG